CCAAAGGAUUCUGUAGAAUCCAUAAACUUUUAAGAUUUGGAAUUGU
rfam:Picea glauca, whole genome shotgun sequence.